rnacentral:ncRNA from 1 species
GAGAGCAUAGUACGAUGAAAUUUGUAAGCUAUGUUCGGGGGGGGGGAGGAGUUAUUGUCUAUCGUUGGCCUCUAUGGUAGAACCAGUCAGGGAGGCCUGAGAUCCCAUGUAGAUCAAACUUUUUAUUCACU